UCAGGACGAACGCUGGCGGCGUGCUUAACACAUGCAAGUCGAGCGAUGAAGCUUCUUCGGAAGUGGAUUAGCGGCGGACGGGUGAGGUAACACGUGGGUAACCUGCCUCAUAGAGGGGAAUAGCCUUCCGAAAGGAAGAUUAAUACCGCAUAAGAUUGUAAUAUCGCAUGAUAUAGCAAUUAAAGGAGUAAUCCGCUAUGAGAUGGACCCGCGUCGCAUUAGCUAGUUGGUGAGGUAACGGCUCACCAAGGCGACGAUGCGUAGCCGACCUGAGAGGGUGAUCGGCCACAUUGGGACUGAGACACGGCCCAGACUCCUACGGGAGGCAGCAGUGGGGAAUAUUGCACAAUGGGGGAAACCCUGAUGCAGCCAACGCCGCGUGAGUGAUGACGGUCUUCGGAUUGUAAAGCUCUGUCUUCAGGGACGAUAAUGACGGUACCUGAGGAGGAAGCCACGGCUAACUACGUGCCAGCCGCUGC
rnacentral:rRNA from 1 species